GUCGAACUCUUCUCUUUUCGUCUUAAACACCUCCUCCACCAUGAAAGAGAUUUUUGAAACACCUCCUCCAUGAAAGAAGAACAAAGGCUACGGAAAUCUGAGUAUUAACAUAAGAUUUAAAUCCAGAAAGGCAGCACAUCUUUGUAGCAAUGGAAGGAAAACAAGUCUUUGUUCCACGUCGUAGCCCUAGAAUCACAGGGCAAGCUCGAGUUCAGGAGUUGAUAUAAACAUCAACGGAGCACAACAGAGUACCAGAACUCCAUAUAAAUCCUCGAAUUGCAGAGCAAGCUCGAGUUCGGGAGAAGCUGGAUAUGAAAAAUGAAAGGAAAAGACAACGUCACCAUGAAUUAGACUCCCCUCAAAGAUCUAAUAUGCUACAACAACGCCGAAUUCUUGAGAGAGCCAAACAAAUCUCAAUGACAAUACAUGAACUGGAAGCUUUAAGUUGAUCAGGAUGGAUAUAUAAAAUCGUGAUAAGACUGUUAUAGGUGGAGUUCACAAAACAUUUCAUAUGAAACAAUAAAUAGCAAGUGUAUAACAAAACGCAUCAGAUAGCCAGUCACAAACUGAUUUCUGUUGGGGCUGCAGUUCCUUACGACCAUGAUGGCAUCUACAAGGGGGGUGCUUACUUGCUUCACUAGAACGACCCACUGGUAUUAGGGUGACAGUAAUCUAGCAAAGUCCUCAAAUAUUCAAAAUCUCAUUUUGCAAAGUAACUCUCUACGCAUAGUUAAAAUUCUUCACCAGAACUCCUCUGCUAUUCUUAGGCGUUUAAGAGACUUCAUUAGUGAUAUUAGAUGACAUGAGAAGCAAAGUAUUAUAACAGUUUGUGAAUUCCACCUAAGUGCUUCAAGUUGAUCAAGAUUGAGAUAUAGAAUCUUUUCAUGUAUGUGGGUUCGUUCUCAUAGGAGGAGUUGAUUAUGUGAUUUGAUAUAGGUUAAUUAGUAUUAGACUAUUAGUAAUUGAUCAGUUAUGAUCUUUUAAUAAAUUCCGUUUUGUGGCUGCUGUACAGGAGGCCUCAUUCAGCGAACUUCUGUCUUUCGUACUACAAUGAGAGGCUGUUAAACGUCAAGUUUGUGCUUCAAGACUGUAGCAUAUAUUGUCAGGAAGCUACUAAUAUUAACGACAAGUUCGCGGGUCGUUUGGUGUAGUACUGGGCUUCUCAUGCUGGAAAACAGCACACGCUCCAUUUUUAUACAUUGGACCUUCAUUUAUUGUAAGGGAGUAGCUUAAUGUAUCGAAACUGAAAUUAGUGACAUCCACUGCAACGCAUUAUUGUAAAUGGUAUUCUGAAUUUAGGUUAUACAGUACUAGCUACUAAGCUACUUAAUAUUUUGUCGAAUGUAAUUCUGUUGGAAACUAUCAAUAGUUGUAUUAAGCUAGGUGUGUAUCCAUGGUGUCAGAAAAUGUCAAUAAGUUCUAUUUUA